rnacentral:rRNA from 1 species
AGUGAACGCUGGCGGUAGGCCUAACACAUGCAAGUCGAACGGCAGCACAGUAAGAGCUUGCUCUUACGGGUGGCGAGUGGCGGACGGGUGAGGAAUACAUCGGAAUCUACUUUUUCGUGGGGGAUAACGUAGGGAAACUUACGCUAAUACCGCAUACGACCUACGGGUGAAAGCAGGGGAUCUUCGGACCUUGCGCGAUUGAAUGAGCCGAUGUCGGAUUAGCUAGUUGGCGGGGUAAAGGCCCACCAAGGCGACGAUCCGUAGCUGGUCUGAGAGGAUGAUCAGCCACACUGGAACUGAGACACGGUCCAGACUCCUACGGGAGGCAGCAGUGGGGAAUAUUGGACAAUGGGCGCAAGCCUGAUACAGCCAUACCGCGUGGGUGAAGAAGGCCUUCGGGUUGUAAAGCCCUUUUGUUGGGAAAGAAAAGCAGCAGGUUAAUACCCCGCUGUUCUGACGGUACCAAAAGAAUAAGCACCGGCUAACUUCGUG